AGAAUCAACGCUGGCGGCGUGCCUAACACAUGCAAGUCGAACGAGAAAGGGUAGCAAUACCUGAGUACAGUGGCGCACGGGUGAGUAACACGUGACUAACCUACCCUGGAGUGGGGGAUAACUGGGAGAAAUCCUAGCUAAUACCGCAUAAUACCUACGGGUCAAAGGAGCAAUUUGCUUCAGGAGGGGGUCGCGGCCGAUUAGUUAGUUGGCAGGGUAAUGGCCUACCAAGACGAUGAUCGGUA
rnacentral:rRNA from 1 species